rnacentral:tRNA from 1 species
GCCUGGGUGGCUCAGUUGGUUGAGUGACUGACUUCGGAUCAGGUGAUGAUCUCAUGGUCUGUGAGUUCGAGCCCCAUGUCGGGCU